CGGGGCGUGGCGCAGCUUGGUAGCGCGCUACACUGGGGGUGUAGAGGUCGCGAGUUCAAAUCUCGCCGCUCCGA
rnacentral:tRNA from 1 species